rnacentral:rRNA from 1 species
UACGAAGGGGGCUAGCGUUGCUCGGAAUCACUGGGCGUAAAGCGCACGUAGGCGGAUUGCUAAGUCAGGUGUGAAAUCCUGGAGCUCAACUCCAGAACUGCCUUUGAUACUGGCGAUCUUGAGUCCGGGAGAGGUGAGUGGAACUGCGAGUGUAGAGGUGAAAUUCGUAGAUAUUCGCAAGAACACCAGUGGCGAAGGCGGCUCACUGGCCCGGUACUGACGCUGAGGCGCGAAAGCGUGGGUAGCAAACAGG